GCGAGAGUGGCGGAACUGGCAGACGCGCUGGAUUUAGGUUCCAGUACCUUCGGGUGUGCAGGUUCGAUUCCUGUCUCUCGCAC
rnacentral:tRNA from 2 species